rnacentral:rRNA from 1 species
UACAGAGGAGCCAAGCGUUGUCCGGAUUGACUGGGCGUAAAGCGCACGCAGGUGGUCGUGCAAGUGUCGUGUGAAAGCAGCUCGCUCAACGAGCUGAGGCAUGGCAGACUGCAUCACUCGAGCCCCGUGAGAGGUCGGUGGAAUUGCCGGUGUAGUGGUGAAAUGCGCAGAUAUCGGGAGGAACACCAGUAGCGAAGGCGGCUCGCUGGGCCGUUCCUGACGCUGAGACGCGAAAGCUAGGGGAGCGAACAGG